AGUGAACGCUGGCGGUAGGCCUAACACAUGCAAGUCGAACGGCAGCACAGUAAGAGCUUGCUCUUACGGGUGGCGAGUGGCGGACGGGUGAGGAAUACAUCGGAAUCUACUUUUUCGUGGGGGAUAACGUAGGGAAACUUACGCUAAUACCGCAUACGACCUACGGGUGAAAGCAGGGGAUCUUCGGACCUUGCGCGAUUGAAUGAGCCGAUGUCGGAUUAGCUAGUUGGCGGGGUAAAGGCCCACCAAGGCGACGAUCCGUAGCUGGUCUGAGAGGAUGAUCAGCCACACUGGAACUGAGACACGGUCAAGACUCCUACGGGAGGCAGCAGUGGGGAAUAUUGGACAAUGGGCGCAAGCAUGAUCCAGCCAUACCGCGUGGGUGAAGAAGGCCUUCGGGUUGUAAAGACCUUUUGUUGGGAAAGAAAAGCAGCAGGUUAAUACCCCGCUGUUCUGACGGUACCCAAAGAAUAAGCACCGGCUAACUUCGUG
rnacentral:rRNA from 1 species